CACCGCGGUUAUACGAGAGGCCCAAGUUGACAGAAAUCGGCGUAAAGGGUGGUUAAUAGCACAUGCACUAAGGCCGAACAUCUUCAAGGCUGUCAUACGCACCCGAAGACAGGAAGCCCUCACACGAAAGUAGCCUUAACACACUAUGAACCCACGAAAGCUAGGAAA
rnacentral:rRNA from 1 species